GACGAACGCUGGCGGCGUGCCUAAUACAUGCAAGUUGAGCGCUGAAGGUUGGUACUUGUACCGACUGGAUGAGCAGCGAGCGGGGGAGUAACGCGUGGGGAAUCUGCCUUUGAGCGGGGGACAACAUUUGGAAACGAAUGCUAAUACCGCAUAAAAACUUUAAACACAAGUUUUAAGUUUGAAAGAUGCAAUUGCAUCACUCAAAGAUGAUCCCGCGUUGUAUUAGCUAGUUGGUGAGGUAAAGGCUCACCAAGGCGAUGAUACAUAGCCGACCUGAGAGGGUGAUCGGCCACAUUGGGACUGAGACACGGCCCAAACUCCUACGGGAGGCAGCAGUAGGGAAUCUUCGGCAAUGGACGAAAGUCUGACCGAGCAACGCCGCGUGAGUGAAGAAGGUUUUCGGAUCGUAAAACUCUGUUGGUAGAGAAGAACGUUGGUGGGAGUGGAAAGCUCAUCAAGUGACGGUAACUACCCAGAAAGGGACGGCUAACUACGUG
rnacentral:rRNA from 1 species